rnacentral:rRNA from 1 species
UUCGUCUCGUGGCAGACGGGUGAGUAACACGUAGAUAACUUGCCUUUAGGUCAAGGAUAACCUGGAGAAAUCCAUGAGAAUCCUGGAUAGAAAUGGGGGGUCUUCGGACAUUCCCAUUUAAAGGUUUUUCGCCUAAAGAGAGGUCUGCGGCUUAUCAGGUAGUAGGUGAGGUAAAAGCUCACCUAGCCUAAGACGGGUAACUGGUGUGAGAGCAUGACCAGUCACAAUGGAACUGAGACACGGUCCCUACACCUACGGGUGGCAGCAGUGAGGAAUUUUCCGCAAUGGGGGAAACCCUGACGGAGCCAUACCGCGUGAAGGAUGAAGGCCUAAUGGUCGUAAACUUCUUUUUAAUAUCGAGGAAAUCUUGACGUUAGAUAUUAGAAUAAGCGACGGCUAACUCCGUGCCAGAAGCCUCGGUUAUACGGAGGUCGCAAGCGUUAUCCGGAUUUACUGGGCGUAAAGGGUUGCGUAGGCGGUUUUUUAAGUCUUAGGUAAAACCUCACGGCCCAACCGUGAGCCUGCCUUAGAAACUGAAAAACUUGAGCCUGUUCAAGGCGAGCAGAAUUCCCGGUGGAGGGGUUAAAUCCGUUGAUAUCGGGAGGAAUACCAAUGGCGUAGGCAGCUCGCUGGGGCACGGCUGACGCUGAGGCACGAAAGCGUGGGGAGCAAAACGGAUUAGAUACCCGUGUAGUCCACGCUGUAAACGAUGGAUGCUAGUUGUUGGCUGUAUCGAUCCAGUCGGCAACGAAGUUAACGCGAUAAGCAUCCCGCCUGCAGACUACGGACGCAAGACUAAAAAAUAAAGGAAUAGACGGGGGCUCGCACAAGCGGUGCUGCAUGUUGCUUAAUCCGAUGGUACGCGAAGAACCUUACCAAGACUUGACAUCCCGGUUUUAUCUUUUGGAGGCAAAAGAGUCAGUUUGGCUGGGCCGGUGACAGGUGGUGCAUGGUCGUCGUCAGCUCGUGCCGUGAGGUGUUCGGUUAAGUCCGGAAACGAGCGCAACCCCUGUCGUAUGUUGUAUUUUUCAUGCGAGACUGCCCGUGUAAGCGGGAGGAAGGUGGGGAUGACGUCUGAUCUGUAUGUCUCUUACGUCUUGGGCUGCAAACAUGCUGCAAUGGUUGGUACAAAGGGCAGCGAAGGAGCGAUCCGGAGCCAAUCCCAUCAAAACCAAUCUCAGUUCAGAUUCUAGGCUGCAAUUCGCCUGGAUGAAGCUGGAAUCGCUAGUAACCGUGUAUCAGAACGGCACGGUGAAU